GCUAGUAUCAGGAGAUAGGAGGGAUGAGGGUGCGUCUGUGGAUGAUUGGUGGACUCGUUUGGAAAGAUGAAUUUGUCAUGUAGUAACCAAAAGCAUGUAUGGUUCAAAAUAUUCUCGGUGCCUACGUACACAAACAGAACAAAAUACAAAGUAAAGACUAAAGAAGAGUCUUGAGCUAAGGUUCAUAAAGGCAAGUAUUGGGUGAAAGAAGUGAAAAGAAAAGCAUGCAAAAUGAAUAAUUCAUGAAGAAAUGAAUAUUUGUAGAAUUCAUGGCGACGCGUGGGAAGGAAAUCUGCCAGACGACGCGUACGCGUGACCCAUGCGUGCGUUACAAGCAGCACGUAACCAACUUAAGGGCAAUACGCUGGGGGCGAUUUCUGAGCCAUCCAGGCCUAGAUCCAACUCAUUUUUUGAUGCUAUUGAAUCCAAGGAUUGAGGGGGAAUAAACGAAGUAUUCAUAAUUUAGUUUUUCAUCAUGUUUUAGGUUAGAUUUCUAGAGAAAAAAGCUCUCUCUUCUCUCUAGAAAUUAGGGUUUUAGAUCACUUCUCUCCAUAGAUUUAGGUUUCAAUUAUUGUUUUGAUUUAGUUUUUUUUUUUUUACUAUUUCUUGUUAUUACAUCUUUGUUCUCUUAA